GUGGCUCUGUAGUUUAGUUGUAAGAAUGCCAUGUUGUGGCUGUGGAGACCUGGGUUCGAAUCCCAGCAGCCACA
rnacentral:tRNA from 11 species